rnacentral:rRNA from 1 species
GUGUGACUGCGUACCUUUUGUAUAAUGGGUCAGCGACUUAUAUUCUGUAGCAAGGUUAACCGUAUAGGGGAGCCGGAGGGAAACCGAGUCUUAAUUGGGCGUUAAGUUGCAGGGUAUAGACCCGAAACCCGGUGAUCUAGCCAUGGGCAGGUUGAAGGUUGGGUAACACUAACUGGAGGACCGAACCGACUAAUGUUGAAAAAUUAGCGGAUGACCUGUGGCUGGGGGUGAAAGGCCAAUCAAACCGGGAGAUAGCUGGUUCUCCCCGAAAGCUAUUUAGGUAGCGCCUCGUGAAUUCAUCUCCGGGGGUAGAGCACUGUUUCGGCUAGGGGGCCAUCCCGGCUUACCAACCCGAUGCAAACUGCGAAUACCGGAGAAUGUUAUCACGGGAGACACACGGCGGGUGCUAACGUCCGUCGUGAAGAGGGAAACAACCCAGACCGCCAGCUAAGGUCCCAAAGUCAUGGUUAAGUGGGAAACGAUGUGGGAAGGCCCAGACAGCCAGGAUGUUGGCUUAGAAGCAGCCAUCAUUUAAAGAAAGCGUAAUAGCUCACUGGUCGAGUCGGCCUGCGCGGAAGAUGUAACGGGGCUAAACCAUGCACCGAAGCUGCGGCAGCGAC